AAAGUCGUAACAAGGUUUCCGUAGGUGAACCUGCGGAAGGAUCAUUACUAGUAUGGCGAACCGAGCGUUAGCGAGGUUUUGCGAUCAAAUUUAUAUUUAAAACCCCACUCUUCAAAUGUAUUAUAUUGUAUUUUUGAUAAAUAAAUAAAAAAGAUCACUUUCAACAACGGAUCUCUUGGCUCUC
rnacentral:misc_RNA from 1 species